GCGUGUAUAGUUUUGGAGCUGCCAGAUAAACUACUUUGACCAGAUGAAGCGGUGGUGGAAAAAGGAGACGCGUUGUACUCCAUUUUGUCUCCCAUCUUCUCGAUUUCCACCGCUGAAAAGUUUUGUCCGCCUUUUUCUCUCCCACGUCCUCUCCUUUUCCACCUCCGCUCCUCCUUGCUCGCAACGAUUUGGCGCAGCGGCGGUGACAAGACCUGCCCCGUCUUAUAUUUGUUGUCGGUGGCGGCAGGAAACGGCGGCGCCGUUGGUGCUUCUGUCGGAAAGUGCGCGAGGUCAUCCGGACGGGUAGACAGAGAUCAGUGCUGCCGCCUACAUCCUCCUCUCGCUCCCACCGACGCCCUCCUCUCCGUCAGGGCUGGCCACCAGGAGCUCUGAGGGAGAUCGAUAAGGUGGAGAUUGAGGACAUCACACUAGAGGAGGAGGGGCUGGUGGGGGGAAUCGCCUCCACAGUUGACAUAGGGAGGCGGGGAUUUAUUCGCGUCAUCAUCAUGCUGGUAUCUUCUCCUCGAUUCUUUGCCUUUUGCACUCAGUUUUAUUUUGUUGUUCUUUUCCGUUGGCUUAAAGGAAAUUCUGAUUCUGGAUGCCAUCGACACCGGCGCCAAAUUGGCUUCUUGCUGCUUAUGACAUUCGAUUUAGCUGUUUCUAUCUCUUACUAUUUGAUGUGUGUUGUUCUAAUGUUCUACAGUUUGGAUGAUUUUGUUUUUCGAUUUAGCAAUUCCUGGUCCUUUUAGAGCAGGAGAAGCUACUCACCGUGUUUAUUAGAGGAGCGGCCGCGAUCACGGAUGCACUGAGGUUGGCUCGCAGGUGGAGUGGCUGAAUCGCCUCCCCCACAACAUUUUUUGCCCCGCCAUUCCUCUGACCUUUCUUCUCCGUUCCAGCCUAAGCAUCAUGGUUGUUCUGAGAAUUUGAUGCCUCACAAGUGUUUGUUGUUAUGCCUUUAGGAACCAAAUAACUGUAUUCUUAGAUUUUUUUCAUUUGAUCUGUAUAGGUUAAACUAAUGUAUUCAUCUGAUUAACACAUCUGCAUAGGAUGCAGUGCAUCUGGGCUUCCUUAUUCUUUUUUGCUAGCUUUCAUAUCUUAUGGCUGUUGGGAACGAUCUAAUUAUCUGAUUUUUAUUCUGCAACCAAAUGUUUUAGCUCAUUAUAUAGGCAAUCAUGGACACAAUGGAGAGUGCCUUUUUCUGGCUAAUGAGUAAUGAUGUAAAGGUAUAAUCUUAAACCGUGGUUUUUCCUUGAUGGCACUGCUAAUAUCUAAUGAUUAUUUGGGAGCACAUGUAACUUCUUCACCAAAGUUCCCAAUCCGGUUGGAAGAAGUGUGCUUAAUGUUUAACAAAUGAACUCUUUUAUUUUUGUCAAUUUCCCACUCUUGAAUUGAUGAUAUCCCACAAGUUCGUGACAAAUACUUUAAGAAGUCUCAUAUCAAUGCUGUUAGAACAAAGAAGGCCAUGGAAUUAGCCUGAUGGUUAUUUUUUCGUACAUAGACUUUAUCAAUAUCAGUUCACUAUCUCUUGCUAUAGAUUCAUGAUAUUGAUAGACGCUUCAGGCUUUUGACAUUUCAAUUCUGCUGUUGCAUCAUGAUAUCUUUUUCAAAGAAACAAUUUAGUGGACUGUUUUGGUUUCGAGACAGUAUCUUCUUUGGCACUACCUACAUCAUUUUUAUGUGAUCUGGUGCUCUUCCUAAAUUUAAUAAGGAAUUAUAAGUUCAUAAACUAGCAGUGGCGCGGUUGCAUCUUUUCCUUCAGUUUUCAUGCUCACUUUUCUAAGAUAUUGUUAUGUGCUAACGCUAACUGAUUUAAUGUUUGGGCUUGAUUUGUAUUCAAGAAAAUGGAUCUGAUGUGGUCUCAAUUGCCCUUACCAUGUAUUCUCUAAGAUUCAAAAUUGUCAUUUUGUUGGUGACCCGUAUUAUACACCUACAAAUAGCUGAAUACAUUAGUAUAGUAGCACAAGUAAAUUAAGACUAUUGCCCUUUCUACACAAGUGUUUCACUGCUUUUAAUAGUUUUUACGUCUAGAGAAACCAUUGUUGUAGUAUAAAUCUUCUGGAUCACCACCGAAGAACGGAACGCUGAAAUCCAUGGACCACCAGGUGCACCUACCAAUCUUGUUUCUGAAUCUUUCCAUGGCAAGUUGCACCUUUUCCUUCAGUUUUCAUGCUCACUUUUCUCAGAUAUUGUUAUGUGCUAACGCUAACUGAUUUAGUGUUUGGGCUUCAUUUGUAUUCAAGAGGAUGGAUCUGAUCUGGUUUCAGUUGCCCUUACUAUGUAUUCUCUAAGAUUCAAAAUUGUCAUUUUGUUGGUGGUCCCUAUUAUACACCUACAAAUAGCUGAAUACAUUAGUAUAGUACCACAAGUAAAUUAAGACUAUUGCCCUUUCUACACAAGUGUUCCACUGCUUUUAAUAGUUUUUACGUCUAGAGAAACCAUUGUUGUAGUAUAAAUCUGUAAGUAUAUUUACUCUUUACAUUAUGUAAUCUCCAUUGCAGUGAACAAUUAUAGUCUACUAUCUUUCUCGAACAUUUUGGCCAUAUCUUUUUAUUCUCCUAUUCGGUUACUUAUCUAUCUUUUUAUUCUCCUAUUCGGUCACUUAUCUACUGCUGAGUUAUGGAAUAAGCUAUUAAUGCUUAUUGUCUAUUGUGUUACAGAGUCUCUAAGGUUAAGGACAAAACGUCGGCCGAGGACUAGGCAGUUACAUUGUUGAAAAUGUAUAUACCAUCUUAUUUCAUCUGCUAAAGGCGACGCUGAAAUCCAAACAUUCUGCUGAAAGUUUCCAGGACUAUGGAUACAUAUCCUACCCAGCCAUGUACAUGAUGUUGAAUGAUAACACCGCCAGGAUGAUUUCCUGCAUGGAAUGAAGUCUUUGGCUUCCCAGGAACCUGAUCAGAUGUACUAUAUACUUUAUUGGGCACAAAAAUGCUACGGCUGUUUGCACUAGAAAUUUUUGAGAAUUCCUCCUGAACGGAAUAAGUAACCAUUUCUACAGUGCACAGGUGCUUGGUGUAACUAAUUCCUUACCUAUGUGCUCUUCAGUUUAGUCCAUGCCACCUCAAAGCUGGGUGAAGCUGAGUGUGGACAGCUUCUACAUUGGGAAUAUUGCGCAAGGAGGCAUUGGAUAAUCGCUCAGAAGGAAGACUACUAUGUGGUUCUGUCCGCCUGGUACAACAUAGAUAAGUACUCUGACGCCAAAGAAUUACAAGCAAUCGCAGCACUGCUGGGCAUCAAAACUCUAUCCCAGAGUUUCAGUGGACAGAUCAUCCUGACUACGGUCAGUUCUAGCACAAAAAUAUUGAGCUUCUUGGUGUGCAGUUUCAGAAGAAACUAUGAUCUUGAUGCACAGAUUUGUCAUGUACAAAAUUAAUUAGACCAGGAGUGUGAGCAAGAAGGUAGGCAUCCUAUGCCUUGGCUAGCCACUCUAGAAAUCAUGAGGACAUUGUCACAAAGGAAUGUAAUCCUCUGUGUUUUAAUAUAUGAUGAAGCUCUUUUUAUAGAAAAAAAUGUAUUAUUUAGUCCAACCAAGGUCGAAUCUGUAAUUUAUGUAACCUACGAUGUGUUAUCUUCAUAUUACUAGAGCCCAGCCAUACAUGUCUAAAAUAAUUGGUUGUUGAUACUUUGACAACAAUAAGUUGAUAACAC